rnacentral:rRNA from 1 species
CCUACGGGGGGCUGCAGUAAGGAAUAUUGCUCAAUGGCCGAAAGGCUGAAGCAGCAACGCCGCGUGGAGGAUGAAAUACUUUUGUAUGUAAACUCCUGUAAGAAGGGAAAAAUAUUCCGAUUUAUCGGGAUUGAUUGUACCUUCAGAGUAAGCCCCGGCUAACUACGUGCCAGCAGCCGCGGUAAUACGUAGGGGGCAAGCGUUGUCCGGAUUUACUGGGUGUAAAGGGUGCUCAGGUGGACUUUUAAGUCAGAGGUGAAAUCCCAAAGCUUAACUUUGGAGCUGCCUUUGAUACUGAAAGUCUAGAGUUUGAGAGAGGGCAAUGGAAUAUCUGGUGUAGCAGUGAAAUGCGUAGAUAUCAGAUAGAACACCAAUGGCGAAGGCAGUUGCCUGGCUCAAAACUGACGCUAAAGCACGAAAGUGUGGGGAGCAAACAGGAUUAGAUACCCCAGUAGUC